rnacentral:rRNA from 1 species
AUACCAGCACCCCGAGUGGUCGGGACGAUUAUUGGGCCUAAAGCAUCCGUAGCCGGUUCUACAAGUCUUCCGUUAAAUCCACCUGCUUAACAGAUGGGCUGCGGAGGAUACUAUAGAGCUAGGAGGCGGGAGAGGCAAGCGGUACUUAGUGGGUAGGGGUAAAAUCCGUUGAUCCAUUGAAGACCACCAGUGGCGAAGGCGGCUUGCCAGAACGCACUCGACGGUGAGGGAUGAAAGCUGGGGGAGCAAACCGGA